CCCACAAAUCGCACGCGGUCACGCUGGUCACCGUCGCAGCUCGAGGGGCGUUGUAGAGGAGCGCAAGUUCCCCGAAGGCGUCUCCAGGGCCCACGACUUUCACCACUUUCUCUUCUCCCUCGAGCAGCUUCGAACAGUUCAACUCGCCGCUCUCGACGAUGUACAGGCACUCGCCAUCGUCUCCUUCGCAAAUCAACCGCGUGUUCGCCUCGAUCUUCUUCUCCUGCAUCGCCAGAAUCACCGUGUUCAAAUCCUUCUCGUCCAGGCUGUUGAACAAAAACGACUGGCGCAAAAUACGCUGGCGCACACAUGAGCAAACACACCCCAGACGCCAAGCAUCUACGAGCUGCAAAAAGGAAGGUGGAGAAGAGCGAGGAAACGGGGCGAAGGGUGGGAGAGUCACACGCGAUACUCGCGCUCAGACGCAGCUUGCAUAAUCGCUCACGUGCCUUUCUGGUAGGGUGUGCACGUGGGAAUGCUGAUCCUCUCUGGUUCGUCCAAAGAGAAACAAAGACAGAGACACACAGAGAGACCAGGAUUCUUUGUGUUUGUGGGUAAGUCGCGGCUUUUUCGUGUCUUCGAUGCCUUUUUGGAUAUUUUUCUGGGUGCGACGAAACGGCGAGUCAAUGAGGAGAGAGGCGCCACCCCUCGUCCUCGGUUGACUCCAAAUGUUUCUUGCGUUUUCCCCACCUCGAGUCGCUCUUUCUGGUCCUCAUCUUUUUCGUAGACGGGCGCAACAAAGUUUUUCUUCUUGUUCCACUCGCCGUACACCUCAGCGGAGACCGAGCAUCGCAUUUUAUUUAGGUUUUUGAAUCGCGACAUCACAGCCUCGUCGUCAUCGUCCUCCACGGCGUCGUCUUGCUCCUCGUCAGAUUCAUCCGACUCGUGCGUUUCGACGGGACUCCCGUCACCGGCGUUUUGCAACUUCCCCAGUUGUUCGCGCAGCAGACUAAUCUCCACUUUCAACUCCUCAGCUUCGCUCUUCCCGCCUGCUGCGCCUGAGAACAGAAGCCAGCACGGAAGAAAAGCGAGAGACCGUGUAGCACUCAGAGGAGAAGAGAACGCGAAGGAAGAGACAUCACCGAAAACAAGAUCCACCGGGGUUUCGAAGUCUCUGAGAACGACGAAGGAAAGCUUUCUACCCGGCCCUUCAACGCCUCUGAGCUCUUUGCUUUGCGUUCCACGACGGAAAGUGCGUUGUCUUUUGCAGCGCGUCGAUAUCUCGAAUAAAAGGACUCGACCCGGCGGCCAGAAGUGAGUAGCAACGCAUGAGUGUGUGAGCACGAACAAACAGGAAUGUCUGUUACACUCCGUUCCGUGGUGUGGUUCGCUCUGAGUCGCCGUACCUGCAACAGGAUCGGGGAUUCCGGCUCGCUGGCAAAGGCGAGAAAUCAUGAAGGUGACGGGAUCGUCAGGGUGUUCGAGAAGAACCUCGACGACAAGCCCCUCAAGAAUGGGGUUCAACUUGGUGUUGAUGUACUCUUGAUAAGCUGCUGUUGCGCCUGCCAUUUUGGAGGCGAGAAAAGGAGAAACUAAGCGAAGAACGGAAACCAACGCUACUUUGCAGAUCCUCGCAGUCUCCUUGUUCACCUCGUGGGUGUUUAGAAAAGAACCCGUUUGUCCGCGCACAGGCUACUGGCUUCGAAGGCAGCUAUCCACGCAUAUUUGUGGACGAACUCCGCUCUCUGGGGCAUCAAUGUGUAAGAGUCGAAUAUGUGUAGCGAUGCGUGAGCACAUGUGCGGAUGCUUUUCUCGGCUGCUCAGAACGUUGCCACCGGUGGAGAGUGUUUUUCCUGUUUGCAAGAAGC
rnacentral:lncRNA from 1 species